rnacentral:lncRNA from 1 species
CAAUAAGAUAAUUCAGCUCUUGAAAAAGAUACCAACUGACAGCCCCACAGAUUGAGGAACAUAUGUCUUCCUGCAAAGGGGCCCCUGUGCACAGAGCAGCCCGGGUAGACUCUGGAGAGGGCAGCUGAGCGUAGGCACAGGCGGAGAGCCAGCCUCAGACCUGGACUCCCAGGGGCCGACCCCGCCCCUCUAGACGAAGCCAAGUAGAGAAGAGGUUUCUUUAACAAAGAUAUCACCUCUGGGCACAAUCUGACACUCUAACAACCUGCCAGGCUUCAAGCUUCAGUUCUGCCUGAGUUCUUCUGUCUUUACUAGAUUUAGGGUGAAUUGGAAUGGGGAGCAAAGUGAAGAGAAAAUCUAUCUUGAUCGUGGAGACCAAGGGAAGCAUUAUGGGAUGAAGUGGGCGAAAAGAAGAGGGAGAACAGAUCAUCUUUCUUCCAUAGGCUGUGAGGGAAAUCAAGGUUUGCUAGUUUCUGCCCAUACAAACCACACUCGGUCACCUUUCUCCAAAUUAUGACCCAAACCCUCUUCUUCAUGAAGAAAAAGAAAUAUAACGAGAGCUCCCAAUUAAGGAGCCUUCGGUUGAGGCCAGUCACUGUGCAGAGCACUUUCUGUGUUUCACCCUGUCGGAUCCACACGAUCCUCCCUGCUGCCCCAGUCUCUGGAGGACACUGAGAGAUCUUCAGAGAGAUGGAGGAGUUUGGCAAAAAUCACAAAGCUCAUAAGUGGCAGAACCAAGAUUCUCACCCUGGCCUGUCUGCCUAUCACACCUUGAUCCUCAAAACUGAUCUGGCAGCACCAUCAUCACCUGGGAAUUUAUUGGAAAUGCAGUCUCUCAGGCCCCACAUAUGAUCUACUGGCUCAGAAUAUGCAUUUGAACAUGAUCAUGUGAUUCUCUGAUGCGUUGGAGUGUGAGUAGUCUCAGCCUCUGUCCUCCAGGUAGAAGCAGUCCUGAGACCACUGGACCAACACACUGGCCUUGACUGAUGCUUCGGUGACUGAUGACUGCUAGCCACACGUCAGCAAGAGCACAUGUGACUGGUUAUCUCUAAAUGGGGCUGAGAACACAAGGCUACUACUAUCAAGCUGCAUCCACCGGACAUGGUCUUUGGGUUGGUUCGUUCUGCAGUCCCUCAAGACAGCCCUAUUAGGGGAAAGGAACUCCCCUCUCCCCUCCAUUUUUUUAUGGCUACAGCUUCUGCAAUGCCGGAUCCUUAACCCACUGUGCCAGGCUGAGAAUCGAACCCGCACCUCUUCAGUGACCUGAGCUGUUGCAGCUGGAUUCUUAACCCACUGUAUCAUGGCCGGAACCCUAGAACUCCCUUUUCUCUUAAUUCUUUUUUUGGGGGGGGCAUUCCCACAGCAUGUGGCACUUCCUAGGGCCAUGGAUCAAAACUGCGCCACAGCAGUAACCCAAACCCCAACAGUGACAAUGCCAGAUCCUUUAACUGCUAGGCCACCAGGGAGCUCCUUUAAGUGUUCCUCUAUCAAUGUAUAUAUAAUUUACAUGCAGCUAAAUACCCAAAUCUUACUUGUGUGACCACCACCUGGAUAAAGGUAUCAAAAAUCUCCAGCACCCAGGAUGGCUCCCUCACACCCCCUCCCAGUCAACACCCUCCUAAUAUUCACUAUUCUGCCAUUUAUCAUCAGAAGUCACCUGUCUUUAAACUUCAAAUAAAUAGAAUGAUGCCGAAUGUUUUCUCUUGCAUCCACAUGGCCAUGAGGUUUAGCCAUAUUCCCGGGUGCUUCAGCAUUGCAUUCUUUCACCUUGCCCAGCAGAACGCCACAUGUGACUCUACCACAGUUUAUUGAUCCAUUCUAGUGUUGAUGGGCAUUUGGGACAUUCCCAUUUGUGGCUUUUAUUAUUGAAGCUGCUGUGAGUACUUUUGUACAUGUGUCUAGGUGUGGACAUGUGUACUCAUUUCUCUUAGCCAAAUGUACAAGCAUCGGCUUGCUUUUAUUCAGUACAUAGGAGGCUUUAUUAGCUCCUGAUAGUUUCUCAAAGCGGUUGUACCAACAUAUGCUUACGCCAAAAGUCAUGUGAAAGUAAAACCUUCAUUUUAACGCUGGUCCAGUAGUGAGCUGGGAUUCCAUUACUCUGCACUGAGUCACUCUCCUUUGAAAAGGAGAAAGAUUUGCUCCUAAAUUCCUAUCUAAGGGAUGACAGCACCCUGCAUCAUCUAAAAUCAGCAGAUUGUUCAAGCACAUUUGUUUGACAUCGGAUAUCAGAAGAGAGCCCCUUUAUGGUGCACGAGAACGGACACUUGAUCCCAACAAGCUGCGACAAUUGAAACUUUACAGCUUCUGCUCGCAUUAGAAAAAAGGUCCCAAAGAUGUCAUCAACUUUUACAAACAUAUGGGGCAAAUUUCAGGGCAGUGCAUGGGGAAUUCAGGGCACCGCUCACAGUAAUGAUAACCUGGAAUAAUAGGAGUUGCGUGGAUAACUCCGGGGCGGCAAGCAGUAAUUACACCCCCGAGGGCUUCUCCACCUCACAGGCCAUAUAUUAACACAUGCUUCCCUCCUGGGAUCCUCCAGUUUACCAGAAAGAGCCACAACUUGGGUCUCAGAAGUAAGGCUUAGGGGCUCAAAGUCCGUGCUAAUUGCUCACUGACCCUCAACCAGCCACUUAGCCUUUGCACGCCUCAACGCCCCUUCCAAUAAACUGAACUUCCCGGACUUCUCUCUCCCUUUCCUGACACUCAGCCUACACUUUUUCUCCACUCAUUAAGAAACCCUUUUUAUUUUGAAAUCAGUUGAAUCCAAAAGAAGAACAGGAAGUGUAGAAGAACUCCCUUAAACCUCUCUGCCCAAUAUUUCCAUUGCUAGUAUUUUGCCAUAUUUGUUUGAAAUUUUCCCUUGGUCUAAAUAAACAGAAAUUUCCCCUGAAACAUUUAAGAUUUCACUGUAGACAACCUACCCUUUGAUCCUUAAUAUUUCAGCCUAAAUUUCCUAAAAGCAAGGACAUCUUCCUACAUAUGAUAAAAUGGGAUUUUAUUUAAUGUCAUAGAAAACUGCUAUUUACUAUACAGCCCAUAUUCAAAUUUCACCAAUUGUCUUAAUAAUGCUUUCUUAGUGUUCCUGCUUCUCCCCAGUCAGGACCAGUACAGGACUGUGCAUUGCAUUUAGUUGUAAUGUUUGUAUAGUUUCUUUUAAUCAGAGACAGUGUUGGAGCCUUUCUUUCUCUUUCUUAAUAUGACAUUUUGAAGAGUGCAGACCACCAGUUCCAUAGAAUGCCCUUGAACUUGUCACUCUACAUUCUUUCCACAUGCGGAUCUGCAAACCUGCAGAAAUGAAAUGUUUUCUCUCCUCCAGGCUUCUGCUAGAGCCAGCCUCUCCACCCGAACUCUCUUCCCUUUCUCUUUCCUCUGGGAAAUUCCCAUUCAACCUUCUCUGAAUGACCCCUCAAACUUGGAGAAAAGCCCUUUCCCUGGGCUCCCAUUGUGCCGCAAGCUGAGCCCCCCUGAGCAUCUACCAAAGUGCAGCAUGUAGUCUGUGUGGGCUGGAAUUACUAACCACUACCCCAGGGAGGGCUCUCACAUCUGCCCAGUUCAGGGCCCCCUAAAAUGUACAGGUAGGUAGGCUUCGCCACCAGCCUCUUCUCCCACAUCGCCCACUGAAUGCUCAGGGCACAAAAGUCACUGGGGCAUUGUAGCGGAGACCUCUCCCGGGUCCAUCAGAGGUGGUAUGGCCAGGAUGACCAGUUAAUCCUGGGGAAGCUCUCUGUAGAUGGAGCAACGUGGCAGAAUCUGCUGAUCAACAGGGCACAUGUGGUAAUAACGGUAACAACAGCAGGAAUUUUAAUACCAAACGUGGAGCACUUCCUUUGUGCUGUGUCUAAAUUCUUUACAAAUAUUAAAUCCUUUACUGCUAUGAGGUAUACUUUAGUGGUGUAUUGGAGGUGGUUUGCACUGAUUCAUGAGAGUCAAUUGUUCAAUAUUUAGGAAUUUCACCACCUGGGUUUUUAAGCCAUUGAUUGCUUGAAACUGACCACUGUGGGAGCAUUUACACCAUAGAAAUCAGCAAAUGCUAAAAGUCAUGGCUUUUUUUUUCAAGAGCCGAUUUACCAGCACACUGGAUAUUGUUGUUAGCCCCAUUUUAUAAACGAGGAAACAAAGAGAAGUUCUGAAACUUGCUUGAGGUCACAUAGUCAGUAAUGUUAGCUAUCUACUAACAUAACAAAUAUGUUUGGGAACAUAACAAAUUGUUCCCAAACUUAGUGGCUCCAAAUAACAAUAAUUAUUGAUUAUCUCUCACAGUUUCUAAUUACUGAUUAGACAGGGCCUAAUAGGGAUGCGGUCUAAGCCUCAGAGGACUAAAAAGCUGGAACCUGGAAUAAUUUGAAGGCUCAUUCACUCACAUGGAUGAUUUUCUUUUUUGACUUUUAGGGCCACACCUGUGGCACAUGGAAGUUGCCAGGCCAGGGCCUGACUUGGAGCUGCAGCUGCCAGCCUACACUGCAGCCAUAGCAAUGUGGAAUCCCAGCUGAGUCUGUGACCUACACCAUAGCUCACUGCAACAGCAGAUCCUUAACCUGCUGAGUGAGGCCAGGGUUCAAACCUGUGUCUUCAUGGAUACUAGGUAGGUUUGUUACCACUAAGCCACAUCAGGAACUCCCUCACAUGGCUGAAAUGCCCUGCCUGGGUCCAACCUCCCCAGGUGGCCUGAGCUUCCUUACAUCAUGGUGGCUAGAUUCCAAGGGCAAAUGCCCCUAGAGAGAGAGACUGCUCCAGGUAGAAAUAGAAGAUUUUUAUGACUUGGCCCGAGAAGUCCCAUAGUAUCUGCUCUGCCCACUCCUUAAUGAGGGUAGUCACACACCCUUGUUUGUAGUCAAGGAGAAGGAGCCCUGACAUCCCGACAUCACUCUCAGUGGUGUGAAUUUUUUUUGUGUGUGUGUGCUUUUUAGGGCCGCACCUGCAGCAUUUGGAAGUUCCCUGGCUGGGGGUUGAAUCAGAGCUGCAGCUGCUGGCCUACAUUACAGCCACAAUAACUCAGGAUCUGAGCCUCAUCUGCAACCUAUACUGUAGCUCAUGGCAACACUUGAUCCUUAACCACUGAGCAAGGCCAGAGAUUGAACCCCUGUCCUCACACACACUAGUUGGGUUCAUUACCACUAAGCCACAACAGGAACUCCAUUGAUUUUUUGAUUUUAUGAAUGAAUUGAUAAUAAGGGCAAAUAUGUUUUGAAGGGUUACUCUGUGCCAGGUACUGUUCUAAGUGCUCUACUGGUAAGAGCACAUUUAACCCUCACAAAAACUCCAUGAACAGGAUAAUAUUAAUCCUAUCAUUGCUUUCACGUUACAGGUAGGAAAACAGACAUGGAAAGACUAAGUAAUUUAUCCAAGAUCACAAAGCUAGUAAUGGGUAGAAUCAACUGUACUUGAACUAUCUUUCUUGACAAGAGGGAAGAAGGAAAAGAAGGAGGGGAGGAAAGGAGGGAAGAAGCCAGGAAGGGUGGGACAGCAGUGUAAUUCCUUAUCCCAGGCCAAGGCAUCCUCUUGCCAAAAGGUGUAUGUUGUUACUUGAAGAGUCACUAAACACUUCAUAGCACAGUGCCUGAUACUGCCACAUUUACACUCACAUCUUUCGACUAAGUUCCCCAGAUUACAAACGUCCUUCAAUAAGAACUUUCCAAGGCCCUAGGAGCACUCACGUAUUAGCUCAGAUUAAUACACACAUUAGCCUUUGGACCCUCAAAAUGGCAAGUUUGGGGUGGUUGAAGGGCAAGUUAAAGAUUAUAAGCCAUGUUUGUUUGUUUGUUUGUUUUUUCAUAUUCUUUGCUUAAAUGAGAUGUCACCUCAGGGGAUAGUCUGACAACAAAAAAUUCUUUCCAGGGAGGAUUACAACGAAAAGCCAGGCUUUCAAAGCAGGGUCAAGAGAAUCCCCAAACAAAUCCUUCACCUCCUUUGAGUCUGGCCUGGGACCUCCUGCUCCCAGCCUGAGGCUGAGUGAAGUUUAUUCAUAAGGAAAGUCCAGAGAGGAGACUGCAGGACUGGGAGAGAGGAUUGACUCAAGAGCAAGGGGACAAGAGGAAAAACAAGGAUUAGCCACCAGUGACAAGCUGGCCUUGACAAAGGUCUAGCACAAAUCUGGUGGUGAGAGGAUGAGAAACUUGGAGGUCAAAGGUUGAGUUGCCAAACCCAGGAGGUGCAGCCAAACUGGCCUCAGUGAAUCAGCAGAGCCUUGACCUCUGGGUACCGGAUGUCAGGCAAGAGACUCGGUUCCUGAAAAGGGGUGUCAGCCAAUUACUAGGAAAGGGAGGCAGUUAGAAGUCAAAGCUGGUGAUUGCUGCUUUGGUGUAGGUCCCUGAGAAGCAGCCCCCGGGACAAGGUUUCAAGCGCAGGUGGUUUAUUUGGGAGGCAAGAGAGAAGUGGUUAGGGAAGUGGAGAAAUGAGGCCGGUAAGGGCGGGCGGUUAAUAAAGUGCAAGGUGCUGGUCAGCUACCACUGCAGGCCCCUGAGCUUUAUCCCAUAGGGGUUCUGCAGGUGUUCAAAGCCUGGAAAAACACUUUAAAUGCCCUGUAACAGGGGGUCAUGUCAAUAAAUCAGAGGUUAUGCUCUCAACAGAAAGCCGUGGAGGUGGGGGCUAGGGAAAGAAUAAGUUAUUUUUCACAGUAACCAAAACUUUCCCUAUAUGUCUACUCUCAGGUUUUUCCAUAAUGAACACAGAUAACUAUCUAUUUAAUAAAAAUGAUAGACAUUCCCCCCAAAAAGAAAGAAAAAGUAUAAUUCUUAAGUGUGACAGAAAAUUUGGCAGGCUAAAAAAAUUCUAAGACAAAUCCUUCUGAAAAACAAAGGCUCCUCCCGAUGAGGUCACCAUGGCUCCCUCGUUUAUUUCUGCUACAAAAGCACAGUUUUCAAGAGAAGAGGAGUCCUUCCACACAGACAAUAGGCUCAGAGCCACAGCCACCGCCACCCAUUCCCUGAGCCAGCCGGGGAUUUGCUGGGUUCUCCAUGACACACGCCUCUGGUCCAAGUGGCUCUCCUGUCCACCUCCUGUCAUCCCAUGAGAAGACACCACCCGUCAUUGUACUCCAGUCUGUGCGUGGUAUCUGAAGAGUCAGUCUGGGGCCAUCUAGUCCUAACGUUCUCAUCAGGCUCACAGCCCAGGGCCCAGCCUGGCAAGUCAGAGCCUGUCUGCCAAGGCCUAGCAGAGUGGAAGCCUGCAGGCUGAGUGAUGGUGGCAGAGCCUGUUGGGCAGGACCAAUAUUGCUCAGGGCCAAUAGGGGAGCAGAGUCUCCUCCCUGAGAAACUGAAGCUACGUGCCCAGGGGAGUUUAGGAAUAUCCUGACUCCUCCAUCAUCCAAGGGCAUAGAGCUCCUUCCUGUGGAAUGGUGGCCACAGGGGAUUUGAAUAUUCCUGCACAGCCUGGGAGAGGGGAGCCCAAAACAUUUAAAGGUCAUGAUGGGUGAGGCAAGGGGCUGAAUGAUGAAGCACAUAGAAAUGAGCACCAGGUACAAGGACCCUCGGCUCCACGCAUGGCAGGAAAGCAGAUCCAGUGCCUCCUGGCUCUGCUUAGACCAGAGUAGGUGUCUCCUGCUUCAUCUAGACACUAAACUCCUUGCUCCCUGCUCCCCUUUCCCUCCUCCAGUGGCCAGCCCAAGCCUAUCCCCACUUCUUUUCACAUAAUAUGCAUCAUCACCCCCUGCUCUUUAAAACUGUCCAUCUAAGCCCACAUUUUCUCAGUGCUUAAGAUUUAUCUUGAUAUUUGUGGAAUAAAAGGAUAUACUUAACCAAUUCAUACCAAGCAUCAAUGAAUGAGAACACCUUCAUGAUUCAGCCAAAGGAAAGAAUCUCUAACAGCUGGAUUCUACCAUUUGGUGGCAGGCCACUAGGCAGGGGUUUGUUCGGUUCUGUUUAAUAUCUUCCUACAGAAACAUCCCAGACCAGAUCACCUUGCAACUGGGAACUGGAUUGCCAAUAGAAUUUAAAAAUAGCAUUGCCAGGAGUUCUCACUGUGGUGCAGUGGGUUAAGGAUCCUGUGUUGUCUCUGCAGCAGCGUGGGUUUGAUCUCUGGCCUGUGGCAGUGGGUUAAGGAUCCAGUUUUGCCACAGCCAUAGCAUAGGUCAUAGCCUUGUCUCAUAUUUGAUCCCUGGCCCAGAAAUUUCCACAGGUGUGGCCAAAAAAGAAAAAAGAAAAACAGCACUGCCAAACUGAAUCUCAGAGAUGCAUAAUCUAUGCAAAUGUAAGGAGAACUUGGAGACUACAUAAUAACAAUAAUAAUAGUAGUAGCAGUAGUAGUAGUAGCAAAUAUGUGUUGGGUAAUUUUUAUGCUAUAUGAAUUAUGUUGUCAUACUUAAUCCAUGCAACCACUUCUUGAGUAGGCAGUGUUAUUCUCAUUUCCAUUUUAUAGAUGAAGAAAUUGUCCCUGGAGAAGAUAAGUAGUUUUCCUAAGGCUACACUGCAGCUAGGGAAGCUGCACCCUGGAAGUCUGGCUUCAGGGUCAGGACUUUUCUACUGCAUGACUAUCUUCCACCUACUUUUUACAGACCAGGAAAACAAGAUU